rnacentral:rRNA from 1 species
AACGUAGGAGGCAAGCGUUAUCCGGAAUUACUGGGCGUAAAGGGCGUCUAGGUGGUAAGGCAAGCGCGAUGUGAAAGCUCCUGGCUCAACUGGGAGAGUGCGUAGCGAACUGCUUAACUAGAGGCCAGGCGAUGGGGGUGGAAUUCCCGGUGUAGUGGUGGAAUGCGUAGAUAUCGGGAGGAACACCAGUGGCGAAGGCGGUUGCCUGGAGCUUUGCUGACGCUGAGGCGCGAAAGCGUGGGGAGCGAACAGG